CAUAAUUCAUAGAUUUUGAACAAAAAACACUUUCUGUUUGUCGUAGACGGAAAAUAUUAAUAUGAUAUGAAAGGCGAGUCCUAACAAGUCCAGGAAGCCAGGCUAGAGCUCUGUGAGACAUUCACAACGAUGAGGGCAGAUGUUUUGAUCAAGAGAGACCAUUAGAAAAUAUGCACAUUUUCUGUAUUUUAAAGUUAUAAAGGAUAAAUCUUAUAGUUAGUAUUUUGAAUCCUACAGACGAAGAACCAUAUAUGUGACAUAAAAAAAAAUUAAAAAGAGAGAUAUACAUGAAAAAUCAGUAUUGGACACCCUUUUUCUAUAGUGAACCGGUUUCACAAGCUCUCCACGCGCUAAUUAACAAUACUUUUAAAUUUAAAGAUAGGCUCUCGUGGAAUAACCGUUUAUGUGCACCACUCAGAAUGGACGGAUAAGCGCACAACUUUUCAGUUGCUGAUGAAAAUCGCCUGAAUGUGGGAAAGAAACGUAAAACAAAACUAAAAGAAUGGAAAGACAGGCAAAGGAAGAUCUUACGGGAUGCGGGAAAACCCUAUACAAAUCGUAAGGGUCAAGAAAACUGGGAAAAGCUGUCCAAAAGAGGGAUUGCACACCGAGGGUCCAUUGAGGUGGCAAGCUGCAUAUUGAAGUGGGUGAAGACAAAAUUCCCGCCACUCACCAAACCAGAGGUGCGCAAGUUGAUCAUCUUCAGUGACAGAUGCUGUGGGCAGAAUAACAACUGGCGGAUGCUCAAUCUGAUGUGGAUGCUCGUUUCUAUGGGUUACUUUACCCAAGUUGUGCAGAAGUUCAUGGACUCUGGUCAUUCUUUUCUUCCUUGUGAUCGAUCUUUUGCCACCAUCGAGAAGAGGCGCAAGGUGUCAGUCCUUCAAACACCUGAUGAUGUUUCAAAGAUGAUACUUGAAGCACAACCAGCAAAACCAUUCAAGGUGAUGAGGAUCCAAUGUGAAGACUUCAGGCACCUCCCAGAUUCUGUCCUCAAGCGACCAGCUGGACUACAGAUCACCUCAGUGAGGUGGUUAAUAGUCACAGUUGAGGAUCCUUGGAAUCUGUACGCCAGACAGAGCCACAGUCUAUUUGAGGGAUGGAAAUCGUGGCUGAUCUCCAAACCAAAACAAGGAGCUACACCUCAACUUCCCUAUUUUGCAAGCCACUAC